UUGGCGGCGAGUGGCGGACGGGUGAGUAACGCGUGGGUAUCUGCCCCGUAGUGUGGGACAACCCAAGGAAACUUGGGCUAAUACCACAUAUUCUCUAAGGAGGAAAGCUGGGGACCCUUUGGGGCCUUGUGCUACGGGAUGAGCCUGCGUCGGAUUAGCUAGUUGGUAAGGUAAAGGCUUACCAAGGCGAUGAUCCGUAGCUGAUUUGAGAGAAUGAUCAGCCACACUGGGACUGAGACACGGCCCAGACUCC
rnacentral:rRNA from 1 species